rnacentral:rRNA from 1 species
CGAGCACGCGCGUGUGGCAUAUCAAUAAGCGGAGGAAAAGAAACUAACAAGGAUUCCCCUAGUAACGGCGAGUGAAGCGGGAAGAGCUCAAAUUUGAAAUCUUCAAGGUUUUACCUUGACGAAUUGUAGUUUAUAGAAGUGUUUUCUGUUAGUAGAGUGGUAAAAGGCUCUUUGGAAUAGGACAUCAUAGAGGGUGAGAAUCCCGUAUUUGAUCCAUUCUUUCUAGCUUUGUGAUACACUUUCAAAGAGUCGGAUUGUUUGGGAAUGCAGUCCAAAAUGGGUGGUAAAUUUCAUCUAAAGCUAAAUAUUGGCGAGAGACCGAUAGCGAACAAGUACCGUGAGGGAAAGAUGAAAAGAACUUUGAAAGGAGAGUUAAACAGUACGUGAAAUUGUCAAAAGGGAAGCGUUUGACACCAGUGUUGUUUUUCCGAAAAUCAAUUACGAAUGUUUUGUUUUUAAGGAGUUAUGACUUCAUCGGCUUGCUUCUUUCUUUACGAAACUUUCUUAAUGCACUUUUCGGUUAACAAGUCAACAUCAAUUUCUUUUGUUGUAAAAGGGUACUGAGGAAGGUGGCUUUCUUUUCGGAGAAAGUGUUUAUAGCCUUGUAGCCUCUGCAAUCGGAGAGAUUGAGGUCUGCAGCGUAGAUCCUUCGGGGUUAGAUACAGUUUGUGCUAAGUUAUAGCUUUUCAUAGACAACUUGUUGACUAUGUUAGUCUUGUAGCUUACUCGCUGAUGCUAUUUUACCUACGCUUAGGAUGUUGAACUCUAUCACACACAG